CCUACGGGUGGCAGCAGUGGGGAAUAUUGCGCAAUGGGCGAAAGCCUGACGCAGCGACGCCGCGUGAGGGAUGAAGGUCUUCGGAUCUUAAACCUCUGUCAGCAGGGAAGUACGGUCACUCUGCUAAUCAUCAUUGCAUUGACUUUACCUGCAAAGGAAGCACCGCCUCACUCCGUGCCAGCAGCCGCGGUAAUACGGAGGGGGCGAGCGUUACUCGGAAUUACUGGGCGUAAAGCGCUCGUAGGCGGUAGGUCAAGUCAAGGGUGAAAUCCCCGCGCUCAACGGGGGAACUGCCUUUGAAACUGGCAGACUGGAGUGUGGGAGAGGAUAGUGGAAUUCCAGGUGUAGGAGUGAAAUCCGUAGAUAUCUGGAGGAACAUCAGUGGCGAAGGCGACUAUCUGGAACGUAACUGACGCUGAGGAGCGAAAGCGUGGGUAGCAAACAGGAUUAGAUACCCGUGUAGUC
rnacentral:rRNA from 1 species